CAGGUCUUUGAACAGUAUAGACAUCACAGCCAAAUAUUGAUGCUACUGAAUUCAAAAUGCUAGGAUUUGUUGAUGCUCUAUUAGUGGCUAUUAUGCGUAUUGGAGGGGAGGGCAUGCCAAAUCUUUCUACAUGAGCUCGCAUUAAGAGAAGUUGGCUCUCAAUCAAUGCUUGGACCUGAAAAUGAAAAUUCCUUAUGAAAAGUCUUGCAGUACUACUUCUGCAUAUGUAAUGUUUGCUAUUACCCUUUUAAGUAGCAACCUAAGGAGUAGGAUCAAAUUCUUGUGCCUCCUGUUCAUUCAUUCCCUCUCGACUGUCUCCCAUAUAGUGGUGGACACCAACUGGCUGCAAAAACAACUGUUAUUUAAUUUGAGGCUGUUGGAAGUUGUUGAGAUUUUAGUUUGUCUAUAAGAAAAGCAACAUAGCCAUGCCUAAGGUGUAAGUACGGGCUUUAUUGACUAGUUAAAGGCAUUCUUUGCCUAUAAAAAGGAAGCAUCUGCUAUAUGUAAGUGUGUAGAGAGAUAAUGUGAAAGUUGUAAGAAUUGGAGAGCUGAGAAAAUGAGGAAGAAAAGGGAAAAAAAAGUUUGUGUUUGUUUAUGUAUCCUCUGUUUUUUAUCUAUGAAAUUUUAGUUUUAUCUUCUCUCCACCUUUUCUUCAUGUUAAUUUGAAGUUUUUUCAGUGUCUUUGUAUGCAUAGGUGCUAGGCUCUCUUUGGGAGAGGAGGAUGUGCUGGGUUUCUAUAUGGCUUCAUCUCUUGAAGGCUUGCCUUUUGCCAUGGAGGAAAAAAAAGAGUGGAAGACUUUAG
rnacentral:misc_RNA from 1 species